rnacentral:rRNA from 1 species
UUUGAUUAUGGCUCAGGACGAACGCUGGCGGCGUGCCUAAUACAUGCAAGUCGAACGUUCUUUUUCCACCGGAGCUUGCUCCACCGGAAAAAGAGGAGUGGCGAACGGGUGAGUAACACGUGGGUAACCUGCCCAUCAGAAGGGGAUAACACUUGGAAACAGGUGCUAAUACCGUAUAACAAUCGAAACCGCAUGGUUUUGAUUUGAAAGGCGCUUUCGGGUGUCGCUGAUGGAUGGACCCGCGGUGCAUUAGCUAGUUGGUGAGGUAACGGCUCACCAAGGCGACGAUGCAUAGCCGACCUGAGAGGGUGAUCGGCCACAUUGGGACUGAGACACGGCCCAAACUCCUACGGGAGGCAGCAGUAGGGAAUCUUCGGCAAUGGACGAAAGUCUGACCGAGCAACGCCGCGUGAGUGAAGAAGGUUUUCGGAUCGUAAAACUCUGUUGUUAGAGAAGAACAAGGAUGAGAGUAACUGUUCAUCCCUUGACGGUAUCUAACCAGAAAGCCACGGCUAACUACGUGCCAGCAGCCGCGGUAAUACGUAGGUGGCAAGCGUUGUCCGGAUUUAUUGGGCGUAAAGCGAGCGCAGGCGGUUUCUUAAGUCUGAUGUGAAAGCCCCCGGCUCAACCGGGGAGGGUCAUUGGAAACUGGGAGACUUGAGUGCAGAAGAGGAGAGUGGAAUUCCAUGUGUAGCGGUGAAAUGCGUAGAUAUAUGGAGGAACACCAGUGGCGAAGGCGGCUCUCUGGUCUGUAACUGACGCUGAGGCUCGAAAGCGUGGGGAGCAAACAGGAUUAGAUACCCUGGUAGUCCACGCCGUAAACGAUGAGUGCUAAGUGUUGGAGGGUUUCCGCCCUUCAGUGCUGCAGCUAACGCAUUAAGCACUCCGCCUGGGGAGUACGACCGCAAGGUUGAAACUCAAAGGAAUUGACGGGGGCCCGCACAAGCGGUGGAGCAUGUGGUUUAAUUCGAAGCAACGCGAAGAACCUUACCAGGUCUUGACAUCCUUUGACCACUCUAGAGAUAGAGCUUCCCCUUCGGGGGCAAAGUGACAGGUGGUGCAUGGUUGUCGUCAGCUCGUGUCGUGAGAUGUUGGGUUAAGUCCCGCAACGAGCGCAACCCUUAUUGUUAGUUGCCAUCAUUUAGUUGGGCACUCUAGCAAGACUGCCGGUGACAAACCGGAGGAAGGUGGGGAUGACGUCAAAUCAUCAUGCCCCUUAUGACCUGGGCUACACACGUGCUACAAUGGGAAGUACAACGAGUCGCAAAGUCGCGAGGCUAAGCUAAUCUCUUAAAGCUUCUCUCAGUUCGGAUUGUAGGCUGCAACUCGCCUACAUGAAGCCGGAAUCGCUAGUAAUCGCGGAUCAGCACGCCGCGGUGAAUACGUUCCCGGGCCUUGUACACACCGCCCGUCACACCACGAGAGUUUGUAACACCCGAAGUCGGUGAGGUAACCUUUUGGAGCCAGCCGCCUAANGUGGGAUAGAUGAUUGGGGUGAAGUCCUAACAAGGUA